AGGAAAAAUGUGAAGGGGGUGAAUACUUCGGCAAGCCAGUGUGAUAUAUAUAUAUAUAUAUAUAGUAUACUAUAGUAUAGCCACUGUGAUGUAUACUAUAGUUAACGAAGUAAUACUAAGUGUCUGUUGUGUAGUGAGCUGUUUGUAGCCCAUGUGCCUCACCCUAAUUAUUUGGUCCCUUUCACCCUGAGUGGCGCUGUGGUCUACUGCACUGCAUCUCAGUACAAGAGGCGUCACUGUAGUACCUGGUUCGAAUCCAGGCUGCAUCACAUCUGGCCAUGAUUGAGAGUCACAAAGGGUGGCGCACAAUUUGUCCAGCCUUAUCCGGGUCAGGUGUGCUGGAGGCAGAGCAGAUCUCCACCAGCUGCAACAUGUUCCAUAAUCAAGACCUCUACAAAUACUCAGGCCUGCCACUUCCACGCUGCCAGAUCGUAACCUCUGCUCAUUUUGUCUGCUCUGACUCUGGUCCCUGUCUCCAGUUCCACAUCUCGUCAGUCCUGCUACUCAGUCCUGGAUCCCCCACUCUACCGCUUACUUGAAUUUCUCUCCGGACCUGCUUACCCAGCCCCAACUCCCCUAGCUCCAGCCUCAGCCUCAGAACCUGGCUCUGCUCUGCAUAACAGCUGAAAAGAAAGCUUUGCUGUUGGGACAGCAUUAUGUAGGCACCGUUUGUCACCAUUAUAGUGAAAUUCAUGUAUUGUUUAGUGUUGUCUAGUGGCUUUACUGGCAUGCCCCACCAAUAUGUACAUGCUAAAAUCACCACUGUAUAGGCCUAUAGGAUAUAGCCUAGCUUUUAGGAGGACAAUUUGCAGGCAGAGACAAAUCUGUAAUCAAUACUUUUUGAAAAUGAAGUGUGCAAUGCUCGCUCACCAUAGUAGCCUAACCUAUGUGCACGUUGUGCCUUUUCAUUGAUGAUUUACAUGUUUUGAUUGCACUUCAACUCAUGUUGGUUGAGACCCCUCCACUUCUUUCCAUGAUCAAUAUUUUCAUCCCAAAGAUGUCUGUCUGGGGUCCCAGCAGGUUAAAACAGCCAUGGAAGACCAGUCUACGGAGCUCAUGUGAAUUCUGCAGUAUAUUAACAAUCAGUGAAUUAUACAAAGUUCCUUCUUGAAUUGUUGGGUAGACCUACAGUAGUUACAAGACAGAAGUUUAAGCUUAAAGCUACAGUCUCAGACCUGGGAAUAACUGUAACGGUUUUCUUCCUGGGAAGGAGAGGAGGACCAAAAUGCAGCGUGGUUAUUUAUAAACAUCUUUAAUGAAAGAUGAAAACGUGAACACUAUACAAAAUAAGAAAACGUGGCAAAAACCGAAACAGUCCUAACUGG